rnacentral:SRP_RNA from 1 species
CGGGCUAGGUGGGGAACUGGCGGUGCCCUGUAACCUGCAAUCCGCCUUAGCGGGACUGAAGUCCCUGUCGAGGUCUAGAUUGGUCAUGGUCUGGUUUGACUGGAAAGUGUGGACGAUUGGGUCCUACGCAACGGGUGCUCUCGAACCGUGUCAGGUCCGGAAGGAAGCAGCACUAAGGGUGAUUUCUCGUGUGCCGUAGGGUAGCCUGAUUCGAGCUGGAAAGUCAAAGUCCGCGUGGGUUUUCUAGAUCGGAGCUGGGG